CUCCUACGGGGGCAGGCAGUGGGGAAUUUUGGACAAUGGGCGAAAGCCUGAUCCAGCGAUGCCGCGUGUGUGAAGAAGGCCUUCGGGUUGUAAAGCACUUUUGUCAGGGAAGAAAAGGAUUCCACUAAUACUGGAGUCUGAUGACGGUACCUGAAGAAUAAGCACCGGCUAACUACGUGCCAGCAGCCGCGGUAAUAC
rnacentral:rRNA from 1 species